GUGUGUAGGCGGUUGUUUAAGUUUGGUGUGAAAUCUCCCGGCUCAACUGGGAGGGUGCGCCGAAUACUGAAUGACUCGAGUGCGGGAGAGGAGAGUGGAAUUCCUGGUGUAGCGGUGAAAUGCGUAGAUAUCAGGAGGAACACCGGCGGUGUAGACGGCUCUCUGGACCGUAACUGACGCUGAGACACGAAAGCGUGGGUAGCAAACAGGAUUAGAUACCCUGGUAGUCCACGCCCUAAACGAUGCAUAUUUGGUGUGGGUCAUUCAGUUGAUCCGUGCCGGAGCUAACGCGUUAAAUAUGCCGCCUGGGGAGUACAGUCGCAAGGCUGAAACUCAAAGGAAUUGACGGGGGCCCGCACAAGCGGUGGAGCAUGUGGUUCAAUUCGACGCAACGCGAAGAACCUUACCUGGGCUCGAACGGCCGGUUACCGGCGGUGGAAACAUCGCUACCCCGCAAGGGGGUCCGGUCGAGGUGCUGCAUGGCUGUCGUCAGCUCGUGUCGUGAGAUGUUGGGUUAAGUCCCGCAACGAGCGCAACCCUUGUCCUGUGUU
rnacentral:rRNA from 1 species